rnacentral:misc_RNA from 1 species
UGCAGACGUUCGGUUCGACAACGACAACCCGUGUGGUCAGUUGGCGUUCCUUGUGCACCGGACGACGGUGGCACGGAGCGGCCGGCGCAUCACGACGGACAGCUCCUGCUUCUCGGCGAACUCCACCGGCUCACCGGGGACCUGGAGCCACUCGAACUCGGCGACGAGACUGGCCACGAAGAACUCGAGGUGCAGCAGAGCGAGCGCCAUCCCGGGGCAGAUCCGCCGCCCGGCGCCGAACGGUAUCAUCUUGACCUCCUUCGCGCCGGUGAGGUCAACGUCCGCGCCCUCGCCGCCGGGCAGGAACCGCUCCGGCCGGAACCGCAGCGGGUCGGGCCACACCGCCUCGUCGAGCCCCAGCGCGACGAGCGUGAAGUUGAGGGACGCGCGCCGCGGCACGCGGAAGCCUUCGAUGGUCGCGUGGUCGCCACCGCCGUCGUCGUCUUGGAUGCCGGUCGCGGCGUGCGGGAUCGCGAAGUGGCCCGGCGGGUGGCGGCGGAGCCCCUCCAGGACCACUGCGCGAAGGUACGGCAUCCGCGGCAGGUCCUGCUCCUGGACGCCCGCGCCGCCGGUGACCUGGUGGAUCUCGGCCCGGAGCCUUGCUUGGAUCUCCGGAUGCGCCACGAGGUUGGCCAUGAUCCAUUGCGCCUCGGUCGCCGUGUUGUCGGUGCCGACGGCCACGAACUCGGCGCACAAGCUCACCAUCUCGCCCUCCGUGAGGUUCCUGCCCCCGUCCUCGGGGAUCCGGAGGUCGAGUAGCGUGUCCACGUACGUGUCCGCGCCGGCGUUGGCGUCGGAGCCUCGUUGCGCGCGGCACGCCCGUAUGAGAGGGGCGAAGAGCUCCUCCUGCCGGCGGCGGAGGGACAGCAUCUGCUUCCACCGGCGCCGGAACAGGAGGCUGGUGAGCGCGGGGCACACGUCGAACACCUGGAAGCCGAGCACCGACUUGAGGAACUCCCGCUGCAGCGCCUCCACGGACGCGACGACGGCGUCGGUGGCGAGGCGCUCGCCGAAGCACAUGGUGACGAGGACGUGGAACAUAGCCCGGUGCAGGAGCCCCUCGACGACGACGGCCCUGCUGCCGGCGUCGCGCGCGACGCCGGCGACGAGCCCCCGCAGCGCGCGGCGGCGGGCGGCGGCGAACCGGCCCAUGCGCGACGGGUGGAACACGUUGCCCGUGAGGUUGUGACGGAGCGCGCGCCAGACCGGGCCGUAGGCGCCGGAUGUGAUGUUGCGCUGGCCACUGGAGAAGAGGCGGAAGGGGAGGCUGGCCGGCGGCCUGUCGGCGAAGGCGGCGCCGCCCUGCACCAGCACGCGGUGCGCCACGACGUGGUCGGCGAUGAAGAUGGCCGGGCGGGACGGGAGCAGGUAGAGCGUGAAGACGGGCCCGUAGCGGGACCGCGCGGCGGAGAGGAUCCGUUCGAUGCCGAAGUUCGUUCGGCCGAGGAAGAGGAGCGGGGUGAUCAGCGACAGCAGCGACGGGCCGGGCGGGAGCGCCGGCGGCGGUCCGGUGGCGGUGAACGAACGGAGGAUGGAGAGGAGGCCGAUGACUGCGAUGCAGAUGGCUACGGUGAGGGAGUAGUAGAGCAAGUCUUCCAUGGCUGCCGGUGAGUGCAGCUGCCAGUGCCAAUGUCAGGAAGGAGAGGAGACGAUGCAAUUUUAUAUUGUAUGUUAUGUUAUUUAUAAAGCAAUUACAAUUAAAAUUGACGGUAGAAAGGUGACUUUAGCCUGAGGCAUCAUUUUAGCACGGUGCAGCAGGCCAGCAGCUGAGCAAUGCAACUGUGCAAAGGACAAAAAAGGGUGCAUGUAC